GUAUAAUGGGUCAGCGACUUAUAUUCUGUAGCAAGGUUAACCGUAUAGGGGAGCCGUAGGGAAACCGAGUCUUAACCGGGCGUUAAGUUGCAGGGUAUAGACCCGAAACCCGGUGAUCUAGCCAUGGGCAGGUUGAAGGUUGGGUAACACUAACUGGAGGACCGAACCGACUAAUGUUGAAAAAUUAGCGGAUGACCUGUGGCUGGGGGUGAAAGGCCAAUCAAACCGGGAGAUAGCUGGUUCUCCCCGAAAGCUAUUUAGGUAGCGCCUCGUGAAUUCAUCUCCGGGGGUAGAGCACUGUUUCGGCUAGGGGGCCAUCCCGGCUUACCAACCCGAUGCAAACUGCGAAUACCGGAGAAUGUUAUCACGGGAGACACACGGCGGGUGCUAACGUCCGUCGUGAAGAGGGAAACAACCCAGACCGCCAGCUAAGGUCCCAAAGUCAUGGUUAAGUGGGAAACGAUGUGGGAAGGCCCAGACAGCCAGGAUGUUGGCUUAGAAGCAGCCAUCAUUUAAAGAAAGCGUAAUAGCUCACUGGUCGAGUCGGCCUGCGCGGAAGAUGUAACGGGGCUAAACCAUGCACCGAAGCUGCGGCAGCGAACGUAUCACCCAAGACAACUUUACGGAGUUGACGAUUGACGGAGCGAAGCGACGUCAAAGCGUUCAUUAAAGUCGAGUUGGCUUAGGGAUACGUUCGUUGGGUAGGGGAGCGUUCUGUAAGCCUGUGAAGGUGUGUCGUGAGGCAUGCUGGAGGUAUCAGAAGUGCGAAUGCUGACAUAAGUAACGAUAAAGCGGGUGAAAAGCCCGCUCGCCGGAAGACCAAGGGUUCCUGUCCAACGUUAAUCGGGGCAGGGUGAGUCGACCCCUAAGGCGAGGCCGAAAGGCGUAGUCGAUGGGAAACGGGUUAAUAUUCCCGUACUUGGUGUUACUGCGAAGGGGGGACGGAGAAGGCUAUGUUGGCCGGGCGACGGUUGUCCCGGUUUAAGCGUGUAGGUGUGUGUUCCAGGUAAAUCCGGUU
rnacentral:rRNA from 1 species